rnacentral:rRNA from 1 species
CCUACGGGUGGCAGCAGUGGGGAAUAUUGCACAAUGGGGGAAACCCUGAUGCAGCGACGCCGCGUGAGUGAAGACGUAUUUCGGUAUGUAAAGCUCUAUCAGCAGGGAAGAAAAUGACGGUACCUGACUAAGCAGCCCCGGCUAACUACGUGCCAGCAGCCGCGGUAAUACGGAGGGGGGAAGCGUUAUCCGGAUUUACUGGGUGUAAAGGGAGCGUAGGCGGGAGCGCAAGUCUGGUGUGAAAUCCCAUGGCUUAAACCUGGAACUGCUUUUGAAACUGUGCAGCUGGAGUGCAGGAGAGGUAAGCGGAAUUCCUAGUGUAGCGGUGAAAUGCGUAGAUAUUAGGAGGAACACCAGUGGCGAAGGCGGCUUACUGGACUGUAACUGACGUUGAGGCUCGAAAGCGUGGGGAGCAAACAGGAUUAGAUACCCCAGUAGUC